rnacentral:rRNA from 1 species
AUUGAACGCUGGCGGCAGGCCUAACACAUGCAAGUCGAACGAGUGGCGGACGGGUGAGUAAUGUCUGGGAAACUGCCUGAUGGAGGGGGAUAACUACUGGAAACGGUAGCUAAUACCGCAUACCAUCGGAUGUGCCCAGAUGGGAUUAGCUAGUAGGUGGGGUAAGGGCUCACCUAGGCGACGCUCCCUAGCUGGUUUGAGAGGAUGACCAGUCACACGGGAACUGGGAAACGGUCCAUGCUCCCACGGGAGGCAGCGGUGGUGAAUAUUUCACAAUGUGCGCAAGCCGGAUGCAGCCAUGCCGCGUGUAUGAAGAAGGCCUUCGGGUUUUAAAGUACUUUCAGCGGGGAGGCGUUACCCGCAGAAGAAGCACCGGCUAACUCCGUGCCAGCAGCCGCGGUAAUUC